GAUUAACGCUGGCGGCGUGCAUAACACAUGCAAGUCGAACGAUGAAACUUAAAUGAUUUCUUCUGAAUGAACUUAAGUGGAUUAGUGGCGGACGGGUGAGUAACGCGUGAGUAACCUGCCUUACACAAGGGGAUAGCCGUUGGAAACGACGAAUAAUACCCUAUGAAACUAUCACUUCGCAUGAAGCGAUAGUCAAAGUGUUAGCGGUGUAAGAUGGACUUGCGUCUGAUUAGCUAGUUGGUGAGAAAAAAGCCCACCAAGGCAACGAUCAGUAGCCGGCUUGAGAGAGUGUACGGCAACAUUGGGACUGGGACACGGCCCAGACUCCUACGGGAGGCAGCAGUGGUGAAUUUUGCACAAUGGGGGAAAGCCUGAUGCAGCGACGCCGCGUGAUUUAGAAGGCCUUCGGGUUGGAAAAAUCUUUUGUAUAGGAAGAAAAUGACAGUACUAUAAGAAUAAGGUCCGGCUAAUUACGUG
rnacentral:rRNA from 1 species